UUUCCACAGCUAGAGCCCCUCCCCCUGACCGCAGGCCGGAGACAGCUUGGGGUGGGGGAAGAUCUUCCUUCUCUUCCCUUCCCCGGGCUGGGGUUGGGGUGUGGGAUUGAGUGCCAUCCGUCCCCGUUGGAAGGCUGGGGUGCGGGGAGUUGCGGCUGGAGGACGCGGCUGGCUGGCUGGCGGCCGUGACACCCCAUCCUUUCGGGCUGGAAACUCCUGACCUGAUCCCCAACACCCAGUCCUGACCCCAGCCAGGCUGGACGCCUCACCACCUCCUUCCUCCCGCACAGCCAAAGGGAGACCCAGGAGGAGGCUGGGCCCUGGGGUGUAGUCCUCCCUGGCUGGGUGACUCUGGCAUGCUCAUCUCCCCUCCCUAGGCUUGUUUCUGCCUUCGAGAAAUGAAUUCUACAGGGUUUUGUAUCAUCUUUAAAGAGGACAAUGGAUAUGUUGGUCACUAGAGUCUGACAAGCCUGGGCUGGAAUCCCGGCAACUUCGCGCGCGUAUAGCAGCUGUAUGAUCUUGGGUGAGCCUUCGGUGUCCUGUGCCUCAGUUUACUAAUGAGCAAAAUGGGGUUAAUCGUAACACCCUUCUCCCAGGUGUUGAGAGGAUUAAUUGUUGCGACAGCUUAGUACACAGCUCCCAAUAAACGCCAGCAAUUCUAUUGCCAGGAUGAGUACUGAGGUUCUUCCAGACAUGUGAAUCUAGAACGUAAAAAAUGGGUUAAUGAGAAAGUAGCUGGUCACGAACUGUGGUUGUGAUCCACUGUCGGGAGAAGGGCCUGAGCACAAAAUUGGUCCA